AGACUGAGCUACAGUGGUUUGAGGUCAGUGCUCCAACCCUGUGUGCUGACCAUUGGCCUGACUGAACCCUGGUCUCUCAGCUCCCUCGGGUUCCCUGGCACAGCUCUGAGAUGCCGUGAAGGGAAGCAGUCACAUGGAAGCCAGGCCGCAUGGCGUCACACCCAGGAACCAACCGGGAGUUUUCUGGUGAUGGACACCUUCUCCCACCGUUGCCUAUCUGGCUUUUCGUCGCCUGCAUGUCUUCUGGACCAGCCUUGCCCUCGAGAUCCAGCUGCUCAGCCUCCCUAGCUGGUUUCAUCUCACAGUAACAGGAGCUGGUUCUUGCUGGAAGGGUCCCAGGAGGAGGAGGCGGAGCGAGCAGGACAUCACCGCGCCUUCCCUUCACCUUGUGGCUCUCCUCCUAGACACUGAGAGGACUUGCCCUUCCUUCGCUCUCCAGCCAUUUUCAGUCCUGCUCCACUAAAUCGCUGAGAUGCAGCAUCCCACGUGGUAACUAUGAUAUCAUGUGCUAUUUUGAAUUGUUAAAGAAUGUUGCAGAUAAUGAGAAAUAGCAGUUGAGCAGCUGUAAGACACAGGCCCUGUGGAUAGUUUAAAGUACUAGAGAAGGUCUUUUGCACUUAACCAAUUCUACAAACCAGGCAUUUUUAGCUUGGGAUCCAUGAGUGCUAAGGGCUGAUAGGACUGAUGACCUUUGUGAAAUUAAGCACAUAAUUUUCUGGGAAUGUGCAGGUGUUCAUUGUUUAAGGGAGUGGAUCCCAGGUCUCAUGAAAUUCUUGGAGAUACGGAGUCACCAAGAAAGUUAAGAACUGACAGGCCAGGAAGUGUGUUAUUGUACCUUUAUCCAGAGAAACCCUUCCGGAGGUUGGGUUAGGGCAUAAGAAGAAUAUUCUUCCUGAGAAAAUGCAGCACUCGCUAUAGGACUGCCCAGGAGCUAAUACUGAGCCCUAAGGAGCUGGCAGGAGAAUCCGCUGAUUUUCUUCCACUUUACAGGUGAGUGGAGUGAGGGCUGGGGCCUCACAUGCCAAUGUCAUACAAGCCC
rnacentral:lncRNA from 1 species